rnacentral:rRNA from 1 species
GAGUUUGAUUCUGGCUCAGGAUGAACGCUAGCGGCAGGCCUCAUACAUGCAAGUCGAGGGGCAGCAGGACACUUCGGUGUUGCUGGCGACCGGCGCACGGGUGCGUAACGCGUAUGCAAUCUGCCUUGUACUGGAGCAUAGCCCUCGGAAACGAAGAUUAAUACUCCAUACAGUCUUACUAGCGCAUGCUAGUAAGAUGAAAGCUCCGGCGGUACAAGAUGAGCAUGCAUCCCAUUAGCUUGUUGGUGAGAUAACAGCUCACCAAGGCUACGAUGGGUAGGGGUUCUGAGAGGAAGAUCCCCCACACUGGCACUGAGAUACGGGCCAGACUCCUACGGGAGGCAGCAGUAGGGAAUAUUGGUCAAUGGGCGCAAGCCUGAACCAGCCAUGCCGCGUGCAGGAUGAAGGCCUUCAGGGUUGUAAACUGCUUUUGUAUGGGAAUAAAAAAGUCCUUGCGAGGACUCUUGAAGGUACCAUAAGAAUAAGCACCGGCUAACUCCGUGCCAGCAGCCGCGGUAAUACGGAGGGA